UACGUAGGUCCCGAGCGUUGUCCGGAUUUAUUGGGCGUAAAGCGAGCGCAGGUUGUUUAAUAAGUCUGAUGUAAAAGGCAGUGGCUCAACCAUUGUGUGCAUUGGAAACUGUUAGACUUGAGUGCAGUAGAGGAGAGUGGAAUUCCAUGUGUAGCGGUGAAAUGCGUAGAUAUAUGGAGGAACACCGGUGGCGAAAGCGGCUCUCUGGCCUGUAACUGACACUGAGGCUCGAAAGCGUGGGGAGCAAACAGG
rnacentral:rRNA from 1 species